rnacentral:tRNA from 1 species
GGUGGCUUAAUGGUAGAGUACGUGCCUUGCAUGCAUGCGGCCCUGGGUUCAAUUCCUAAGCACCA